rnacentral:rRNA from 1 species
GAAAGGAAACCAGGGGAUUGCUUAGUACGGCGAGUGAAGCGGCAAAAGCUCAAAUUUGAAAUCUGGCACCUUCGGUGUCCGAGUUGUAAUUUGAAGAAGGUAACUUUGGAGUUGGCUCUUGUCUAUGUUCCUUGGAACAGGACGUCACAGAGGGUGAGAAUCCCGUGCGAUGAGAUGCCCAAUUCUAUGUAAAGUGCUUUCGAAGAGUCGAGUUGUUUGGGAAUGCAGCUCUCAGUGGGUGGUAAAUUCCAUCUAAAGCUAAAUAUUGGCGAGAGACCGAUAGCGAACAAGUACAUUGAUGGAAAGAUAAAAAGAACUUUGAAAAGAGAGUGAAAAAGUACGUGAAAUUGUUGAAAGGGAGGGGCUUGAGAUCAGACUUGGUAUUUUGCUGAUCCUUUCCUUCUUGGUUGGGUUCCUCGCAGCUUACUGGGGCGGCAUCGGUUUGGAUGAUGAGAGACUGUCUCAGGAAUGUGGCUCUCCUUCUUUGAGAGGUUAAACCCUUGGGUGGUAUUUCCUUUUGAGACAGGGGACCGCCGGGUCUUCUUUCAAAAGUGUGCCCAGUUGGUUUUUUAUCCCUCCCCCAAGGGAUGCACAAAAACC